ensembl:lincRNA
AUGGGCAAAGAAGGCCUUGGUGUCGGCCUCGGUGGCCAGGUGCAGGCAGGUGGUUCUGUUCCAGCAGCGGUUCCGACGCACCAGCAGGGCGAAGGCGCGCUCCUCGCUGUGGCGGUAACACUGGGAGAAGAGGUCUGCGGGGGCGGCCACUGGCGUGACGCCCAGGCCCGACUGCCGGGCGCCUCCCCUGCAGAGCUGGACCUGCAGGANNNNNNNNNNNNNNNNNNNNNNNNNNNNNNNNNNNNNNNNNNNNNNNNNNNNNNNNNNNNNNNNNNNNNNNNNNNNNNNNNNNNNNNNNNNNNNNNNNNNCCGAUAGACGCCCUUCCCCCCCCAGCCUCCCUCUCGGGACAUGGGGGCCUCCCCGUCAGGACAUGGGGGCCUCUCCGUCGGGACGUGGGGAUGUCCCUCUCCCCGAGUGUCCCUGCUGGGCCGGCCCGAGACGUGGGGCUUUGUCCUCAUCGGGCACCCAGCCCCGCCCCCGGUGCCCACCCCCGUGCUCACCCAGGGCCAGUUGCUCGUACUUGGCCUCCCUCAGAGUCCGGCCCACCUCGGCCUCCGUCUCCAGCAGGUCGAAGAGCAGGCUUUUGGGGGCCACGGAGCGGUAGAGCUGCUGCAGCCGCCCGUACGUCAGGAAGUCCGCCACGUCCGCGCCAUUGUCCACGAAGAGGCGCACGAACUCGGGCUUGUUGCUCACCAGCGCAUCCAUCAUCACCUCCUCCAGGUCACUGGACUGGGGCGCCGCGUGGAGGGUGAGAGGGAGCCCGUGGAGAAGGGAGCCCACGGGAGGGGCGUGGGGACCCUCCGCAAGAGCCCCAGCUCCUGGGUGCCCCGCCUUGCCUGCGCCCACUGACGUUUAGCCCAUCCUGCCUGGGAUGCCGACGACUGAGGCCCAACGGGAGGUGCCCUGGCCUGCCUGGCUCCCCUGGCAACAGCCAGGCCAGGCUGGCCCUGGACACCACCUGCCCCCAGCCCUCAUCAGGGUCCCCGCCCGGUGCCGGCCAGAGCCAGGAAUCACCUUCCACUCCACGUCCCCGUUGAAGAUCUCGCUCUUGGCGAUGUCCACGCGGUCCCAGGCCACGGCCAGCUUCAGUUCGUCCAGGUAGUCCUGCGCCGCGGGCAGGGAGGCGGAGGGGGAGAAGGGGGGCCCAGGCGCCGGCAGAGCCAGUGGGCACAGGGUCCCUCAAGGUGGGUCUCCUAGAUGUGUGGCCAUGGAAACGAUGCCCUGGUUCCCUCCCCGCCCUCCGAGUACUGGCAAGGAGCCACAAGACUCCACCCGCCCCACUGCUGGGAGCUCCAGGACCCCAAGGGGACCCUAGGGCUGGGUGGAAUAGUGGGGAGCAGGCAUCUGUCUGGAGGAGCCUUCCCGUCCUCAAGGGUGCCCCCUGCCCCACAGAGCCCCUUCCUGUCUGUGUCCCCUGCCAGCGGUCAGCCCUGCAACAGGUGUCUACGUUCAACGAGACACACACUGAGGGACAGCCAGGAAGUGGAGGCCGCCCGAAUGUCCCUCCACAGGGGGACAGGGAAACAAAAUGUGGACUGUCGCUGUCCUAAAGGGCUGGCGCCCCUAUACCGGCUACAGCGCCUUGAACGACCGCCCAGAGCAUCGUGCUCCGAGAAGGACUCCCAAGGCUACAGGGUGUGUGGGCCCAUGUCCAGGAAGUGCCCCCAGCGGGCAGAUCCAUAGACACGCAGGCUCGUGGUCGCCAAAGGCUGGGGGGAGCAGGGGCCUAGUGGGUCUUCUGGGUGGUGGACAUGCUCGGGAGCUACCGUAGGCGUGGCCCACAUUGAAAAAGCACUGAAACCCUUGGAUUAACCGAACACUGUAGUUUUCUAAGGGCUUCCCUGGUGAUCCAGAGGUUAAGCAUCCGCCCACCAAUGCAGGGGGACACAGGCUCACUCCCUGCUCCAGGAGGUUGCCCCAUGCCGCGGUGCAGUGAAGCCCACGCAGCACCACCACUGAGCCCGCACGGUGUCCACGACGAGAGGGAUCUCCACAGUGAGAGCCCGCACACCGCAACCAGGGCAAAGCCCGAGGGCAGCGAGAGACCAAGCGCGGCCCAGACGAAAUAAGUAAAACUCAGGGAUGAAUGAUCAAAUAGUUAAACGAAUUUGUGAUAAAAUACAGCUAACGUGAAACCUCCAGAGACAGAGCCUCUCGUGGACUUGCACGUCAUCAUCGUGUGGAGGCCCUGGAAGGCUGUGUUCCUCCAGUCGGGUCACACGUGCUGCUGCCCAAGUGAGCAGUGGCUGUGCGCACACUCAAACGCUCACACACGGCCACGCACGCUGGCACUUGCAGCAUCGCAGCAGAGGGCCGCCACCCUGGGCCCAGGCUCCUGGAGGCCCAGGGCCCCGGGCG